GGUGCCUUGCCAAGUCUCCUCACCCGCUGGAAUCUCUACUACUUUAUCUCUAAAAUGUCAGCAGGAGUUUGCCCUUUAACUGAGUGCGUGCUGCGUGCGAGGCUGAACCACGUGCAAGUUAAGACAUCGCGGUCAUCCCCACAGGAGACGACACAGCACGGAUGUACUGUUUAUGUCUGGAAGCCCGAGACACUCUACUCUGCAAAAGCAAGGAAUUCUGCACCUCCUAAUGCACUGGAGUAGAGUAGAGGCUUUUUAACCCAGGACAAGCUCAUGAAAAAGAUGAAAGGGAAAUUUUCUGACAAGUCAAACAUCCAUGACCUCCCCACCCCCCGACACUUCUGCUGGGUUUUUGGGGGGACCACCCUGAAAAGGAGAUUCACGGGCAGGAAGAUUUUUGAGGCAAUCAGAGCAUCACCUAUGAACGAGUAAAAGAAGCAAGGCUCAGAGAGGUGGGGACCACAGCACCAUUGUCCUGGGAACCGCACUCUGACAGCUCCAGAACAAAGUACUCGUUCCUCCAGCAUCAAAGCACACGUCUUGGGUAAGUACUCUACUGGUGCAGAGCGCCUGUCCUUUAAUCUACCAAGACCAGGUCAGGAGUGAUUGUGACUAGACACAAAUUAGAUGACCCACUUAUCAAUAAAUAAAUAAAAACAGUAUUGGGGCCAGCAGUGUGGCUCAAUGGCUAGAAACACUUGCCACCAAGCCUGGGCCUGAGUUCAAUCCCUGGAAUCCACAUGGUGAGAAAAAGAACCAACUCCCUUAAAUUGUCCUCUGACUUUUAAACAGAUACUAUGACAUACACGUACCUGUUCCCCAGCACUAAUUGAAUAAAUGCAAAAGAAAUUAGAAACU
ensembl:lincRNA A730020M07Rik uncharacterized LOC110319760